rnacentral:rRNA from 1 species
UACGGGGGGGGCAAGCGUUAUUCGGAAUUACUGGGCGUAAAGGGCUCGUAGGCGGCCAACUAAGUCAUACGUGAAAUCCCUCGGCUUAACCGGGGAACUGCGUCUGAUACUGGAUGGCUUGAGUUCGGGAGAGGGAUGCGGAAUUCCAGGUGUAGCGGUGAAAUGCGUAGAUAUCUGGAGGAACACCGGUGGCGAAGGCGGCAUCCUGGACCGAUACUGACGCUGAGGAGCGAAAGCCAGGGGAGCAAACGGA